rnacentral:pre_miRNA from 1 species
CAACUACUCCCUCUGUCCCAAAUUUCUUGUCUUAUAUUUGUCUAGAUACGGAUGUAUCUAAUACUAAAAUGUGACUUGAUACAUCCGUAUCUAGACAAAUCUAAGACAAGAAUUUUGCGACGGAGGGAGUACUUU